CGUGUAGGCGGCCGGAUAUGUCAGAUGUGAAAGCCCCGGGCUUAACCCGGGAAGUGCAUUUGAAACUGUCCGGCUCGAGUAGGGGAGAGGGAAGUGGAAUUCCUGGUGUAGAGGUGAAAUUCGUAGAUAUCAGGAGGAACACCGGUGGCGAAGGCGACUUCCUGGCCCUAUACUGACGCUGAGACGCGAGAGCGUGGGUAGCAAACA
rnacentral:rRNA from 2 species